CGCUCCUCUGCCGCAGGCUUGACCUACGCGCCUCUGGCCACAGCUGCGACCUGCGGGCUCCUCUUGUGCGUCUCCAGCCGUGGACGCCUUGGCCCAGCACUGGAUGCUCGAGCCGCCGCCGGUCGCGUGAAGCUCCGUCCCCACCAGCUCCGUCCGGUCGCCUGAAGCUCCGUCCUCCAGCUUUCCCUACAUCCAUCCCCGCCAGCCUGAGGUGAAGCACCUGUACGUCUUCUCCACCAUCCUUGCCUCCACGCCUCCAGCAAGCAGAUCGGAGAGUACACCACGCCACAACCUUUAGCUCCUAGCAGAUUCGUUCUUCCUCCUCGAUCUAUCAGUGGGGAGGACAAUGAAUCAAUUGCUGGAGAAAUCUCGAGUAAAGGAGCGUUUGCCAUCUUCCGAUUUCAAGGUCUAUCACCUUCUGCACCUGGCAAUGAAUUUCAUCUUGAAUCAUGACAUUAGAUGGCAAGAAGCUGAUCCCUAGAGGAGGAUCUCUUAGCUUGUGGUCAGGCAUAUGCAAAUUGGUCAAGCUCAUGAUUGAUCCUUCAGAAACACACUUGGUUAAAGAAGAUGGUCGGUUUACCCCCUUUUUUAUUUUUCUGUACGUCUAAUUGCUUCCUUGAGAAAAUACAUUUUCUGUUGGAUAACGUAGCCCCUCUGAUUUUGUAACGUGCUGAAAGGUAAGGUGCCCUGUUGGUUUUUACAAACUAACAAUUGCAGGGAUAACUGGUCCAGAAGGGCAUGCUCUCUCAAGACCCCCAGUUGUAUUUCCAAAUUCAACCUUCUCUUCAUCUCUUAUGCACUUAUGCACCUUGAUAUGUUCAUGUUUUCACUAACAAUUAAGGUACUUAGAACUUGUGCUUUACUCAGUCUCACAUGAAGCUAUUGUAAAGUCAAGAGUUUUUGUUUUCUUAUUUGCUAUAGUUGGAAGGAGAAGCAACUGCUAGGGCAAUCCGUUUAGCAAAGUUCGUCAAUACACCACUAUACGUUGUUCAUGUGAUGAGCAUUGACGCAAAUGGAGGAGAUUGCCAAGGCUAAAAGAGAAGGUGCACAGCACAGGCAGCACUUUUGGAGUAACAACCUUUUGACAGCAAGGAGUGUAACAACAAACAACCUUUUGUUCAAGAUGAAAAUACUUGGGGCCCACCCCACUCUGUGAACAGUACAUCUACAAUGCUGAGGUUAGCCUAAGGAGAAGGAUAAACACAUCUCUCAAUGUGUCAUGUAUGCUGCUAAUUACUAGGCUGAGACUUGACUCAUGACAUCACUAUAUGAUACUUAUUGUGGACAUCUAUGAUGUAUGAUAUGUAACUUCAUUUGGAGGAUCAUCAGUUUAAUCAUGUAUGGAUCAAUAUGUGUAUGCUGUCAGUUGCACUUCGUGCAUGUUGAACUAUAUAUCUGAGUUGUCAUUGUGUA